rnacentral:tRNA from 1 species
GCCCCGGUAGCCCAACGGUAGAGGCGACGCGCUCAAACCGCGUUCGGUGCGGGUUCGAGUCCCGCCCGGGGUACC